GAUGAACGCUGGCGGCGUGCCUAAUACAUGCAAGUCGAGCGAACGGACGAGAAGCUUGCUUCUCUGAUGUUAGCGGCGGACGGGUGAGUAACACGUGGAUAACCUACCUAUAAGACUGGGAUAACUUCGGGAAACCGGAGCUAAUACCGGAUAAUAUUUUGAACCGCAUGGUUCAAAAGUGAAAGACGGUCUUGCUGUCACUUAUAGAUGGAUCCGCGCUGCAUUAGCUAGUUGGUAAGGUAACGGCUUACCAAGGCAACGAUGCAUAGCCGACCUGAGAGGGUGAUCGGCCACACUGGAACUGAGACACGGUCCAGACUCCUACGGGAGGCAGCAGUAGGGAAUCUUCCGCAAUGGGCGAAAACCUGACGGAGCAACGCCGCGUGAGUGAUGAAGGUCUUCGGAUCGUAAAACUCUGUUAUUAGGGAAGAACAUAUGUGUAAGUAACUGUGCACAUCUUGACGGUACCUAAUCAGAAAGCCACGGCUAACUACGUGCCAGCAGCCGCGGUAAUACGUAGGUGGCAAGCGUUAUCCGGAAUUAUUGGGCGUAAAGCGCGCGUAGGCGGUUUUUUAAGUCUGAUGUGAAAGCCCACGGCUCAACCGUGGAGGGUCAUUGGAAACUGGAAAACUUGAGUGCAGAAGAGGAAAGUGGAAUUCCAUGUGUAGCGGUGAAAUGCGCAGAGAUAUGGAGGAACACCAGUGGCGAAGGCGACUUUCUGGUCUGUAACUGACGCUGAUGUGCGAAAGCGUGGGGAUCAAACAGGAUUAGAUACCCUGGUAGUCCACGCCGUAAACGAUGAGUGCUAAGUGUUAGGGGGUUUCCGCCCCUUAGUGCUGCAGCUAACGCAUUAAGCACUCCGCCUGGGGAGUACGACCGCAAGGUUGAAACUCAAAGGAAUUGACGGGGACCCGCACAAGCGGUGGAGCAUGUGGUUUAAUUCGAAGCAACGCGAAGAACCUUACCAAAUCUUGACAUCCUUUGACAACUCUAGAGAUAGAGCCUUCCCCUUCGGGGGACAAAGUGACAGGUGGUGCAUGGUUGUCGUCAGCUCGUGUCGUGAGAUGUUGGGUUAAGUCCCGCAACGAGCGCAACCCUUAAGCUUAGUUGCCAUCAUUAAGUUGGGCACUCUAAGUUGACUGCCGGUGACAAACCGGAGGAAGGUGGGGAUGACGUCAAAUCAUCAUGCCCCUUAUGAUUUGGGCUACACACGUGCUACAAUGGACAAUACAAAGGGCAGCGAAACCGCGAGGUCAAGCAAAUCCCAUAAAGUUGUUCUCAGUUCGGAUUGUAGUCUGCAACUCGACUACAUGAAGCUGGAAUCGCUAGUAAUCGUAGAUCAGCAUGCUACGGUGAAUACGUUCCCGGGUCU
rnacentral:rRNA from 1 species